CCUACGGGUGGCUGCAGUGGGGAAUAUUGGACAAUGGGCGAAAGCCUGAUCCAGCCAUGCCGCGUGUGUGAAGAAGGCCUUCGGGUUGUAAAGCACUUUCAGUGGGGAAGAAAGCCUUGGGGCUAAUACCCUCGAGGAAGGACAUCACCCACAGAAGAAGCACCGGCUAACUCCGUGCCAGCAGCCGCGGUAAUACGGAGGGUGCGAGCGUUAAUCGGAAUUACUGGGCGUAAAGCGCGCGUAGGCGGUCUGAUAAGCCGGUUGUGAAAGCCCCGGGCUCAACCUGGGAACGGCAUCCGGAACUGUCAGGCUAGAGGGCAGGAGAGGAAGGUAGAAUUCCCGGUGUAGCGGUGAAAUGCGUAGAGAUCGGGAGGAAUACCAGUGGCGAAGGCGGCCUUCUGGACUGACACUGACGCUGAGGUGCGAAAGCGUGGGUAGCAAACAGGAUUAGAUACCCGUGUAGUC
rnacentral:rRNA from 1 species